AGUGGAUAUAAUAUGACUCGGGAACCAACUGCUGAUUUCACACCAGCGGAAGAGCUCGCCCUGGAUCAGAACUGAGCAGGCCGAUGAUGGAGGGGAUACAGGUGGGGACAGCUACAGAUUCUGUCCCACCCACAGAAACCGCCCUCUUCAUACAAGGACACAGAUGAACAGCCUGACAGCCUGCCUGGAAAUGUAAAUUCACAAACUGUCAGACAGCUAUAUGCUACUCAUCUGAGGAAGCAAAUAGCUCUGGCAGAUGUCAAGCUCCAGUGUGAGAAGAGAAAGCUGCAGGACAUGGAGCUUGACAGACAAAUUAAA